ensembl:miRNA
GCCAACAAGUAAACAACGGCUGUCCCAGGAAGGAGGAAAGGGAACCAGCAGGUGUGACCCUCUUCUCUCUGCCUCUUCCUUUGUCCCUUCUGGGUCUGGAGCAGUGGGAGCACACUUGGCUU